rnacentral:rRNA from 1 species
AUUGAACGCUGGCGGCAGGCCUAACACAUGCAAGUCGAACGGUAACAGGAAGCAGCUUGCUGCUUUGCUGACGAGCGGCGGACGGGUGAGUAAUGUCUGGGAAACUGCCUGAUGGAGGGGGAUAACUACUGGAAACGGUAGCUAAUACCGCAUAACGUCGCAAGACCAAAGAGGGGGACCUUAGGGCCUCUUGCCAUCGGAUGUGCCCAGAUGGGAUUAGCUAGUAGGUGGGGUAACGGCUCACCUAGGCGACGAUCCCUAGCUGGUCUGAGAGGAUGACCAGCCACACUGGAACUGAGACACGGUCCAGACUCCUACGGGAGGCAGCAGUGGGGAAUAUUGCACAAUGGGCGCAAGCCUGAUGCAGCCAUGCCGCGUGUAUGAAGAAGGCCUUCGGGUUGUAAAGUACUUUCAGCGGGGAGGAAGGGAGUAAAGUUAAUACCUUUGCUCAUUGACGUUACCCGCAGAAGAAGCACCGGCUAACUCCGUG